rnacentral:rRNA from 1 species
UCAAGCGUCUUAAGGGCAUCUGGUGGAUGCCUUGGCGCGCAGAGGCGAUGAAGGACGUGGCACGCUGCGAUAAGCCAUGGGGAGCUGUGAGCAAGCUUUGAUCCGUGGAUUUCCGAAUGGGGCAACCCACCCGCAAGGGUAUCGUUACCUGAAUUCAUAGGGUGACGAAGCGAACCCGGGGAACUGAAACAUCUCAGUACCCGGAGGAAAGGACAUCAACCGAGACUCCGCUAGUAGUGGCGAGCGAACGCGGACUAGGCCAAUGCCUCAAGUCUUCUAACUGGAACCGUCUGGAAAGUCGGGCCUUAGCGGGUGAUAGCCCCGUACAGGUGUUGAAGGCAUGAGGAUACGAGUAGGGCGGGACACGUGAAAUCCUGUCUGAACAUGGGGGGACCACCCUCCAAGCCUAAGUACUCCUGCGCGACCGAUAGUGCACCAGUACCGUGAGGGAAAGGUGAAAAGCACCCCGACGAGGGGAGUGAAAUAGUACCUGAAACCGGAUGCCUACAAACAGCUGGAGCCCGCAAGGGUGACAGCGUACCUUUUGUAUAAUGGGUCAGCGACUUAAUCUGGCGAGCAAGCCUAAGCCGAUAGGUGUAAGCGAAGCGAAAGCGAGUCUGAACAGGGCGUUCAGUUCGUCGGAUUAGACCCGAAACCGAGUGAUCUAGCCAUGAGCAGGCUGAAGGUGAGGUAACACUCACUGGAGGGCCGAACCCACGUCUGUUGAAAAAGACGGGGAUGACUUGUGGCUAGGGGUGAAAGGCCAAUCAAACUCGGAAAUAGCUGGUUCUCCGCGAAAUCUAUUUAGGUAGAGCGUCGGGCGAAUACUCCAGGGGGUAGAGCACUGGAUGGGCUAGGGGUCCUUACCGGAUUACCAAACCUAACCAAACUCCGAAUACCUGGAAGUACUACCCGGCAGACACACCAUGGGUGCUAACGUCCGUGGUGGAGAGGGAAAAAACCCUGACCGCCGUCUAAGGUCCCUAAAUUGUGGCUAAGUGGGAAAGGAUGUGGGGUCCCCAAAACAACCAGGAGGUUGGCUUAGAAGCAGCCAUCCUUUAAAGAAAGCGUAACAGCUCACUGGUCUAAAUAAGGGGCCCUGCGCCGAAAAUGUACCGGGGCUAAAGCCACAUACCGAAGACGCGGGUGCAUGCUUGCAUGCGCGGUAGCGGAGCGUUCCGUAAGCCUGUGAAGGGCGACCCGUGAGGGCGCCUGGAGGUAUCGGAAGUGAGAAUGCUGACAUGAGUAACGACAAACAGUGUGAGAGACACUGUCGCCGAAAGUCCAAGGGUUCCUGCGUAAAGUUAAUCUGCGCAGGGUUAGCCGGCCCCUAAGGCGAGGGCGAAAGCCGUAGUCGAUGGGAACCACGUUAAUAUUCGUGGGCCAGUGGGAAGUGACGAACGCCGAAAGUUGUCUGGGCUUAUUGGAUUGUCCAGGCCGCGUAGGAGUUCCAGGAAAUAGCUCCCACAUGAGACCGUACCCUAAACCGACACAGGUGGACUGGUAGAGCAUACCAAGGCGCUUGAGAGAACGAUGCUGAAGGAACUCGGCAAAUUGCACGCGUAACUUCGGAAGAAGCGUGACCUCUUUGCGGGCAACCGUGGAGAGGUGGCACAGACCAGGGGGUAGCGACUGUUUACUAAAAACACAGGGCUCUGCGAAAUCGCAAGAUGACGUAUAGGGUCUGACGCCUGCCCGGUGCCGGAAGGUUAAGAGGAGAGGUGCAAGCUUUGAAUCGAAGCCCCGGUAAACGGCGGCCGUAACUAUAACGGUCCUAAGGUAGCGAAAUUCCUUGUCGGGU